AUUUAUUAAUAUUCGUUGGAUAACAAUUUUCGUUGAUUUAGUGGGUAAAAUUUGUCCAAAAGAAUGUAUGCAGACUUUGCCAAAAGAACAAAUUCAAAUAUCCACGAAAAUACCAGUUUUAUAUAUAUCCCAUAUCUUAAUACAUGGUUAGAUGCAGCAUCUCAAAGAAGCCCACAGAUUUAAUUUAUCUUCUUAAAAAUAGACAAUAUUACCUAAAUUUUUAAAGGAGGUUGCUUCAUCAAAUAAAAAA
rnacentral:lncRNA from 1 species